UACGUAGGGGGCUAGCGUUGUCCGGAAUCAUUGGGCGUAAAGCGCGUGUAGGCGGUCCGGUAAGUCCGCUGUGAAAGUCGGGGGCUCAACCCUCGAAUGCCGGUGGAUACUGUCGGGCUAGAGUGCGGAAGAGGCGAGUGGAAUUCCUGGUGUAGCAGUGAAAUGCGCAGAUAUCAGGAGGAACACCAAUGGCGAAGGCAGCUCGCUGGGACGGUACUGACGCUGAGGCGCGAAAGCGUGGGGAGCAAACAGG
rnacentral:rRNA from 1 species